ACAAAGGUGGGUGAAGCCGGUGA
rnacentral:miRNA from 1 species